CCUCAAUGUGAAUCCCACAUUAUCCAUUGGUCCCGAGCUUCAUGAUGAGCACUGUAUAUUUGUAAUAUAGACUCUGUAAAUGAAUACCCCCAAGCUGAGUUCCACAUUCUUCCUUUGUCAUGAGACUCUCUGUUCACAUGAUAAAUGCUGUAAUAGAUGCCUUCACCCCUGGUCAUCUGGUGCAUGGAGCAUAGGGAGCAAUCAUUGAGGCUCCCUGAGUGAUGUUCCUUUUCCGGCCCUCGAGACCACAGUUAACUUAUGUAUCAGGAACACAGAGAUCAGAAAAGCCCAACAAUGGAUGUCUGCUGCCUGGUCCUGAGCUCUAAGGUUGCCUGUGCCAUCAGGGUUACAGCUACAAUCGGAUCAGGGAAGCCUAUGGAAGAGGAGGAGGAAAAAGUUGUAAGAACCGGUGAGAAUGGAAGACACCAAGGAUUCAAGCCCUUCUAGACACAGCAGGACUGAUGCAAAUAUGAAUGAACUCAUAGACUUUUGCUACAUGCCCAGAGCCUACAACGGGGCCCCAGCGCUCUGAGGGGAAGUGUAUAUAACCCCAUAUCCCUAAUCUGGAAGCUGUGUCCAAUUCAUAAACUCUUUCAAAGGAAACUCUUUCUCCGAUGGACUCUCACUGGACAUAUAAACACCCUUUAAGAUGAUACACUAUGCGCAUGCCAACACAAUAUGAACUCGAUGACAUUCUUGGAAGCUUUUGUGGCAUACAAUGCUUUGUCUGGGUAGUGACUUUUAACCUACUGACAUUUUGCUUGUAUAUUGUGGUUCCUGAUUUCUUUUUUGUGAAUUUUCUAUGUGUGGUAAUGCAUGUGUCUUACUCUCUAUAACAGUUUCUGGUGAUUAUUCAUUCUACUGAGAGAAU